UACGUAGGGGGCAAGCGUUAUCCGGAUUUACUGGGUGUAAAGGAAGCGUAGACGGUAAAGCAAGUCUGAAGUGAAAUGCCAGUGCUCAACACUGGAACUGCUUUGGAAACUGUUUGGCUGGAGUGCAGGAGAGGUAAGUGGAAUUCCUAGUGUAGCGGUGAAAUGCGUAGAUAUUAGGAGGAACACCAGUGGCGAAGGCGGCUUACUGGACUGCAACUGACGUUGAGGCUCGAAAGCGUGGGGAGCAAACAGG
rnacentral:rRNA from 1 species